rnacentral:rRNA from 1 species
ACGCUCGACACCUACGGGGGGCAGCAGUGGGGAAUAUUGCACAAUGGGGGAAACCCGUGAUGCAGCGACGCCGCGUGAGCGAAGAAGUAUCUCGGUAUGUAAAGCUCUAUCAGCAGGGAAGAAGAUGACGGUACCUGACUAAGAAGCACCGGCUAAAUACGUGCCAGCAGCCGCGGUAAUCUGAGGCGGGCUGGCAAGGC